ACUUGUCCCCAUCAGGUUUGGCGUGAGUCCCCCUAUAGCCUGGUGGCCCGGCCGUCCUGGCCCUCCCUGGCCAGCCGUCCACCACCACCUUCACCCAGCAGCCGUCCACCACCACCUUCACCCGGCAGCCGCUGCAGCGGAACAACGGGAGGAUCACAGGCUACUUGAUAUUCCUCACCACGGACCAAACUGUCAGUGACUGGGUGAUGGGGGAAGUGACGGGGGACUGGCUCACCCUCUCUGUCCAUGGACUGACGCCUUCAAGGAAGUAUUUGCACAAGAUGCACACUCACAAUGUCAAAGGUUUUGGUCCAUUCUCCUCCGUGGAAAGCUUCACGACUCUUCCAGCUGUUGACAAGAGCAUCGGUGAGCCCCCAGGCUGGUGUGUGGAGCGAGAGGCCUGAUUGUGCUGGUGAUCGCUGGCGUGGCAGGAGCCAUGACCAGCUGGGGGCCUUCUUGGCCACCACACUGUACUGCCGCGGGUCAAGGCGGAGCCCAGGCCAAGCAUUGUGUAAGGUGGCAGGACAGUUUCUUGUUGGUGUGUUUCAUCCCAUGACUCAUUUCAGCAAUCCUUUACACUGACUGCAGGAACUUUUUAUUCACUUUGUAAUAUGGAGAACAAGGCUGCAGGGCAUAGUCCACAAAGACUUAAGUUUGCCAAGAUUAGAGGAAG